GGAUGCCUAGGCUCUCAGAGGCGAAGAAAGACGUGAUAAGCUGCGAUAAGCUACGAGGAGGGGCAAAUACCUUUUGAUUCGUAGAUUUCUGAAUGGGGAAACCUAGCUGGUUGAAGACCAGUUAUCCGCAAGGAGGCAAACGCGCUGAACUGAAACAUCUAAGUAGGCGCAGGAAGAGAAAACAAUAGUGAUUUCCGUAGUAGCGGCGAGCGAAGUGGAAAUAGCCCAAACCAUGAUUGUUUCGGCAAUUAUGGGGUUGUAGGACUGGGAUGUCCGAAAUUAAGCAUAGUAGAAUCAGUUGGAAAGCUGAGCGUUAGAGGUGAUAGCCCUGUAUAUGAAAUGUUUGAUGUAGGUACCAGUAUCCUGAGUAGGGCGGGACAUGUGAAAUCCUGUCUGAAUCUGCCAGAACCAUCUGGUAAGGCUAAAUACUCCUGAGAGACCGAUAGCGAACGAGUACCGUGAGGGAAAGGUGAAAA
rnacentral:rRNA from 1 species